rnacentral:rRNA from 1 species
AACGAACGCUGGCGGCGCGCCUAAUACAUGCAAGUCGAGCGAGAAGACGUAGCAAUACGUUUGUAAAGCGGCGAACGGGUGAGGAAUACAUGGGUGACCUACCCUCGAGUGGGGAAUAACUAGCCGAAAGGUUAGCUAAUACCGCAUACGAUUCCCGGAUUGCGGUUCGGGAAGGAAAGCGAUGCCGUGGGUAUCGCGCUCCUGGAUGGGCUCAUGUCCUAUCAGCUUGUUGGUGAGGUAACGGCUCACCAAGGCUUCGACGGGUAGCUGGUCUGAG